CCCUCACCAGCAUAAGAGUGCAUCAAGGCUCUCAAGUGGAGUUAUAUAACCAGUAAUUCCCUAUCAGGAGCAGAUAACAUGCAAAAAGCAGGAGAUAUGGAAACGGGCUGGGCCCUGGCAAUAGCAGUAGGUAUGCAAACCCUCUCAGGCCAAGGGAACAUCUGGGGGCUGAGCACAGGAGAAGUGUGCCGUGACAUUUGGCGUGUAGAGUUUCACUACAGAGACUGGGGGUGUCAUCAGGCUGCGUAUCGCCCAUCUUUGGAAAAGGUCAAGUCUUUCUCUGGGAGACCCCUAAUUAAUGUCAAGACUUGCGAACAGCAUUGAGACUCUCUCAAUGAGAGAAAAUUAGACAUGUUGCCACCUUCUCGUUUAAUUUACUGUGCGGACAACUUGGUGUUUUCCAGCUCUGCCAGGGAACAAUCAUUCCCAUAAAUAAAAGAACAACAACAAAGGCCAGAUAUGAGUAUACUCAAAUGUCAGAAAUGUCGUGUCCCUUAUAGUCCACUGUUAAAAACCUCUUCAAUCACUUCUCUUAUCUGUUACAAUGGAUGAAAAUGUGUAAUUUGAGGAACAGCACAGGAGGAUGUAAAACUGCAGCUCUACCACAUUUGUGCCAAAACCUCGAACUGUGACAUUCAAGACCCAUAUGCAAACUGUCAAAACAAGGCCGUGUAACUCACAACCCCCACCAAGGAGAAAAGCCAAUCACACUCAUGCUGAACAUUUUCAUCCGCAGAAACCCUAAAGCGAAUAAAAAUGAGUGCAGUAUCACACACAACAGUGUAGCGUUAGCACGUUGGCGCGUUAGCUGCACUUACUCUCACACCUCCUAUGUAUCCCCAGUGGACAGCACAGUACGCCAGGUAUAAUUGCCAGCAGACAAAUGUGGGAUGAGUUAACCACACCAGACACUGUUAUGAAACCCUGGGUUCCCCCACCCCCUACUCCUCCAAAAGGCACAGUCAUCUGUACAAUCCAUCCCAGGUAUCAGAACAAGAUGUUCAGCUCGAGGCAUAGGACGCAAGGUGAAAUCUGGUUUGUGGACAUCUUGCGAGCACAUGGCUCGGAAGUGGGCGAUCUUGCACAUAUGCUUUGCUGUAACAAAUGAUCCCGCUUGACAUUAAUCACUUUUUAAUAAGAUCCACAUGGUAGCCAGGACAUUAGCUCGAGUGAUUUGAGUCACUGAAACAAUGGAAACAAUGAAAGCUAUCACAGUGUGUGACACAUAGGGGGCCCUAAGACAGCUAGAGUGUGUUAACUGGCAUACAUGACGCUAUUGGCAUUUCAAAAGAAUGCAGGUAUUUCAAUGACAUAGCAG
ensembl:lncRNA